GUAAUCAAAUAAAAGUUGGUGUUUUAAGGAUAUGGUUGUGCUAUGCAGCAUCCUGAUUAAGACUUUCCUUUAGUUUCUUGUAAAAUGAUAUUUGGAGUCCUUUAUUGCUUAUAGUUAAUUGGAGGUUUCAGGGAUGUGCUGUGCUCUAGAGACUCCUAAUAAGUUUGCCUGAUGAAGUUUCUGCUUUCUAGUAAACUUGUGUUUGAACCAGCAGACUGUAAAGAGAGAGCAGGCUAUGCCUGAUUUUGCUACUUCUUUAAAUGUGUCUGCUGAAAAAUGUAUUUUAGCCAUGGCUUUUCUCAUUUUAAUGUCUUCCUAACCAUAAGAAAUCUUUUGUGUGUUUUGAACUUUUCUGUAAUGAGAUAUAUCAUCGGUUAUGUUCAGCAAUGCAGAAGACAAUUAUUGCGUAAAUAACAUAACAUGUAAAGUUUUGUUCUGAACAGAAAUUCUAGUUGAAGCAGUAGCAGGAUACCAACUAAAAGCUAUUCAGCUCAGAAGGCACAUGGAAUAUGCUUGCCCUAUUAAAAAUAAAUCCAGUUUUGCUUUUUCUUAGUUUCUUGUGGCUCUCACUGUGUUUG
rnacentral:lncRNA from 1 species